rnacentral:rRNA from 2 species
CCCAGAAGCGGGGGACAACAUUUGGAAACAGAUGCUAAUACCGCAUAACAACGUUGUUCGCAUGAACAACGCUUAAAAGAUGGCUUCUCGCUAUCACUUCUGGAUGGACCUGCGGUGCAUUAGCUUGUUGGUGGGGUAACGGCCUACCAAGGCGAUGAUGCAUAGCCGAGUUGAGAGACUGAUCGGCCACAAUGGGACUGAGACACGGCCCAUACUCCUACGGGAGGCAGCAGUAGGGAAUCUUCCACAAUGGGCGCAAGCCUGAUGGAGCAACACCGCGUGAGUGAAGAAGGGUUUCGGCUCGUAAAGCUCUGUUGUUAAAGAAGAACACGUAUGAGAGUAACUGUUCAUACGUUGACGGUAUUUAACCAGAAAGUCACGGCUAACUACGUGCCAGCAGCCGCGGUAAUACGUAGGUGGCAAGCGUUAUCCGGAUUUAUUGGGCGUAAAGAGAGUGCAGGCGGUUUUCUAAGUCUGAUGUGAAAGCCUUCGGCUUAACCGGAGAAGUGCAUCGGAAACUGGAUAACUUGAGUGCAGAAGAGGGUAGUGGAACUCCAUGUGUAGCGGUGGAAUGCGUAGAUAUAUGGAAGAACACCAGUGGCGAAGGCGGCUACCUGGUCUGCAACUGACGCUGAGACUCGAAAGCAUGGGUAGCGAACAGGAUUAGAUACCCUGGUAGUCCAUGCCGUAAACGAUGAGUGCUAGGUGUUGGAGGGUUUCCGCCCUUCAGUGCCGGAGCUAACGCAUUAAGCACUCCGCCUGGGGAGUACGACCGCAAGGUUGAAACUCAAAGGAAUUGACGGGGGCCCGCACAAGCGGUGGAGCAUGUGGUUUAAUUCGAAGCUACGCGAAGAACCUUACCAGGUCUUGACAUCUUGCGCCAACCCUAGAGAUAGGGCGUUUCCUUCGGGAACGCAAUGACAGGUGGUGCAUGGUCGUCGUCAGCUCGUGUCGUGAGAUGUUGGGUUAAGUCCCGCAACGAGCGCAACCCUUGUUACUAGUUGCCAGCAUUAAGUUGGGCACUCUAGUGAGACUGCCGGUGACAAACCGGAGGAAGGUGGGGACGACGUCAGAUCAUCAUGCCCCUUAUGACCUGGGCUACACACGUGCUACAAUGGACGGUACAACGAGUCGCGAACUCGCGAGGGCAAGCAAAUCUCUUAAAACCGUUCUCAGUUCGGACUGCAGGCUGCAACUCGCCUGCACGAAGUCGGAAUCGCUAGUAAUCGCGGAUCAGCAUGCCGCGGUGAAUACGUUCC